UAAGUCAAACACACACAUAUUAAUCCCCCCAGGUUUCAUAUAAGGCAGGCAGUAACAUGGCGCUGGCCAGAACAACUGAAUGCGAGGGGUUGGAUUGGGUACGUAGCAGAUGACGCGUGUGAUUGGAUUUCCAGGCGCGCUACAUCAUCAAACAGUCAAGAGGAACAAAUAUUGAGGAUGUGCGUGAAUAUGGUGCUGAGAAGAAUAUAUGGGCCUAAGGGGGACGAAGUGAAGGGAGAAUGGAGGAAACUGUACAAUUUUCCCUCUUCACCAAAAAUUAAAAAGAGAUGGGAGGAACAUGAAGCACGCAUGGGAAAUAAGGAAAGCGGAAAGAAUUUUGGUUGGAAAACUAGAAGAAGUACAAUUUCAUACACAGACGCUGUGAGCCUUGACCUUUCCGGACUAUUUUCCGACAGCUUUCGAAACCGUUUUCGACUUUGGCAGAACUCGGGCGAGGUCAGCCCGUCCCAAGGUGUCCACCUACACAGGACAACACACCACUGAGAAACGAGGACACGUCCAUCCUCUGGGCUGAUUUGGAACUCAGGAUCCUUGUCAUCGAGCGCCGAUGAUACACACCUCAAGACGUGAGACAAAUCCUCCUGAUGAUGGACGCAGUAAGGAACUCUGAAACUUCGGUCAACUUGUACGAACGUCAUAUUGAGAAGCAACGUUGAUCAUCGGACUUGAGUCCAGACUUCAGAACAGCGGGUUUCUGACCCGUACAAAACGGAACAGAUGCCAGAAACAUGGCCGAACGUUUAAUCGAUAGGCCAUGGCUGGAAUGAGAAAAUAAAAACAAGUCAUUCUUCAAAAUCGUUUUACCGAGUUUCCUUUAUCCAUUCACUGGCGUCAUUAUAACAGCCACGAACUGGCGAACUGAUAAAACUAGGUACAAACAACGUCACUUCCUUUUUUCACACCUUACUCCUGAAUUCCCCGUCAUCAACAACGCCAGAGAUCUUACAAAUUUGUGAGUUUGGAACACCUUAAAAAUUAUUUUAACGUAAUUUCUCAUGUACGUUAAUAGGUAUUUACAAAUAUAAGAUUUUUAAACAGCG